AAAACUUGGGGCUUAUGUGAAUAUAACCUCUUAUUAUGUCAUUGGUAUUCCCGUUGGACUUCUUUUAUGUUUCCAUCUUCACUUCAAUGGGAAAGGACUUUGGGCUGGUUUAGUCACAGGAUCAACAUUACAAACUCUAAUCAUGUUUCUUGUUAUUGGUUUCACCAAUUGGAGCAAAGAGGCAAUCAAGGCUAGGGAGAGAAUAGGUGAUGAGAAAGGUUUGAGACAUGACUCGCUCCUUCAUUGAAAGAGAUACAAACUUUGUGAUUUUGAUUGCCUUUUUUUGUGAGUUUGUUCAAUAAUCUUCGAUGGGUUUUGGAUUUGUUUAAAAAAUGUAUGGAACUUAAUGAGGUAUGCAGUUGAUUGUAAUAUAAUUUUUUAAUUUUGAGAGAAAAAUUAUACACAUUCAUAAGAUAUCUAGCUAAUGA